rnacentral:lncRNA from 1 species
AGAGAGAGGAAAACACGCGAGUGCACACACGGUGAUAUCUUGCGGGUGAUGAAUAUGAUAAUUGGACAAGGGACGAGAGAACCAUUCUCUGCUUUCAAUAGGACAGAAGAGCUCCUUGGCACUGGAUGCCUCCGGGUCUGGUUGAGAGAGGAAUGGUUAGGAGACUGUUCUGAGGAUACGCAGACAUCAUCCAAAGCUUCCUACAUUCAGAUGAGGACAGAGGUUGGGCCAGAGCUUUGUAAGCUUGUUACCUAAGGAUGGUUCUGACCAUGUAAGCAGAUCACAGAAGGUGAAAAAGAUUGAUCAUCAGAUGUUUCUUAUGUAUCAACCUGAUAUUUAAAUCCAUGAAGGACAGAGACGACAAAGGCAGGUGGAAUAGAUAGAGAAGAGAUUCAAGGUCUGAGCUCUACAUUACUCAAACUGUUAGAGAUUAGGAAGAAGAGGAAGACCUGGCAAAAGAAUGUCCUGGGAUGUAGAAAGAAAACCAGAAGCUUGUGUUCUCUGGAAACCAAAUGAAGAAAGGGCUUCCAGAAGGACAGACAAAGUGUAGUGUGUCAAAGGCUCCUGAGCAAUCAGAGGAGAGCACAAAGGGGCUCACAGGACUUUGGUAUCUGGAUCACCCAGUGACACUUCCUGAUCACGAGAAACUGUCAGACCAACAGGGGCACUUUCUGAAACCAGCAGUUCUUCAGUGCCCAAAUGCAACCUUGAUGGUUUGAUUUUGGAGGAUGGCAAUUCAUUAACAGCACUCCCCAGUGAUAAAUAUGAAAACCAAUAAAACCCCCCACCCAAGGCAAUCUCUCCCAGCUCCUCGCUUUGAGUAAAGUGAGUAACCUCCAUUUCUGCCAACUCCUGUCUUGUCUGAAGCCACAUUUCCCCAGCAAUGUCACAUAUGCAUUUCUUGAUCCUGGUCAUUUCUCCUCUUGGGAGAUGAAUCAUAAAGAAAAUGAGAUCUGUGUGCCCUGGUGACUAUGGAUGCAAGAGUCUGCUGCCCUGGAGGGAACAGCUGGAAAAGUAGAUGGUGAAGACGUGUGGGGGGGAAACAGUGGAGAAGGCAUCUUUGCAGGGGAUCAAGGUGACAGAGUGAUUAGUUACACUGUUUUGACAUGUGAGAACAGGGGGUUAUAAAAAUGGAUACAGGAAGAGGGAGAGAAAGUAAGGACCAAAACAUGAAGCCAGUCAUGAAUGUUUUUACAUAAAAAGCAGCAGAUUUACGGCAAAUAUGUGAUGUUUCCACAUUUUCUGCCUCUAGUUAGCAGGGGCAGCACAAAGAGCAUUACUGUGGAGCUGAACUUUGGGUAAAAGAUUAACAGCCAGUCCUUUCUCUCCAGUGUCUGCUUCCUUCUGGGCUUGCCCUGGGGGAAAAGGAGGGCUGGCAUGGAUAUGCCUGCAGCCCUCACCCUAGAUGUUCUUCCACGCCUCUCUGUUCAUUCAUUGCUUAGUCAUUCCUCAGGCAUGGAUUGAGACCACUGUGUGCCCAGGACCGACCUGGCCUAGGAUGGACAUAGAGAUGGAAAAGGCACAGGGAGCAGGUGACAGAGACAAAUCAAGGUCAUGGAGAAUAGCAGAGUAAGAUAGAAGAUGAAGGCAGGAGAUGGGGUUCUUGAGAAAGCGAGAGCAGGACUGACCCGUGUCUGCCUCACCUGUUAUUGCUGUAGCCUCUUCUCCUUGGAGUAUCCCUCCUGCUCUUGCAUCACCUUAGGAACUUGGAUCAGAGAGGAAAGUUACGGCCUGGAUAUGUUGUAGUAGGAGGGGACAAACAUGUUUGGAGACAGAAAUGCUUGGGGAGCGGGUGUUUUUGGGGGAUGAGACUUUCCAGGUCUCUCAAUUCACACUAUGUAGGUAGUUCACUGCACAGCUUAAAUAAGAGACAACUCUCCGGAGUGGUUGGCUCUCAUCCAAAAAAUGUGUUUUGGGCCUCAGAUUUCCAACGGAAGGGCUGAAGCGUGACUGGCCUGAUGUCAACUACUGAAGUCCACCUGCCCCUGCCCUAUCAGGUGUGGAAAUGCUGGGGUUCCUCUCUCAGAACCUACUUCCUGAGAUGUCGAAAUAUACCCAAGAGUAUUUCUGGGCCUUCUCCAAUCCGAAACUGUUUAGUUUUUGUGUGUGUGUGCCUACUUGGCCACACUAGAAGACAGAGGUGGCCUGGGUGAAAUGCAGGUUUCUAGAGGCUCUCUGACAAAGCUCAGGCCACCAGCCCCAGGCCAGCCUGUGGGUAGUCCUGGCUGACAGUCACUUCAUACCUCACCUGGGCUUUUUGCCAAAUUCAAAGUGUGUGUAUAUGUGGAGUGCUGGGUUCCCACCACUGACAGUCUGUA